UUUAUUCUCUCUGUUCUCUGUUCCUUAUUUCUUAUUAUCCCUAUUUUCUUAGGGCAACGACAUCCCAAACACAACAGGCACAGGCAACAGGGAAUAACGUCCAAUCAGAGCUCUGGUAUGUAAGUUUGAUAUUAUAUCCCAGAGUUCUGAUUGGAUGACUCGUUAUUCCCUGUUGCCUAUGCUAUUGUGUUUAAGCCUUAACUAGUAAAAUUAUCUUUAAAAAGAGUGUUCCAAUACAAUACACUGCCAGUACUAGCAGUACUGGGUAUCAAUUAUUAAACUUUAUCCCUAGAAUGGAAAGUGGAACCAUUGAAGUUAAUGGAGAAAUUUUUCAUUUUUCAUCUUUCACCCAGGAAAAAAGUUUCAUGAUUGAUAUUCUAAAAAAUUAUUUCGCUAUUAGCACGCAACGCGCUACGACAGCGACUAUUUCCCUAAAUGACAUCAUAAAUAAUAAUCAUAUUGCCACUGCGACUACUGCGGCUUUCGAGAUCAGAUAGUUACAGUGCAAAGAUAAAGAACUCAUGGGUUAUUAUUUGACGCGCGCGUCACGCGUUAUAGACGUUUGGAACUGAGAGCGUUUGAUGCAGUUUUGGUGCUGAAAUAGAGAUUAGCAGCUUAGACGAGAUUCAGAGAAUAUUCACAUGCGAUUUAUGUGAAGAAAUUGUGGGCAGCUUGGAAAUAGUAAAGAGCCAUUCUUGUCUAAUGGGAUAUGCAAAAGCAAUUUUUGAUGAAAAUCUUUAUUUUUAUCCUCAAAGCAAUAAUGGAGACAUACAUUGUACGUCGAAGUGAUGUGAAUAUUUAAGGGAGAAUCAGAAUGUUACGAUCGUAUCGCAAGAUAGAAAAACGAUGGCAAGAAGUCAGCGAAGCAAUAAAAGGCACACAACCAAGACAUUCAGUUUUCAAAUGAGUUACAUGAACAAUGGUGAAAAUUUGGAAGAAAUUACUUAGAUGAGUGAUUUAUGUGAUAACAUGAAAAUUUCUAUAUAAUUCUCUUGAUGUCGCAGGCUACUUUUUCUAAGCCAUUUCUUUCAAACUAUUUAUCGCUACGUUUACAUUGUGAAUUUAGGCCGCGACCUAUAUAAUAAAUGUUCUUGUUUAGUCCCUGUAAGUUAAACAAAGAUACUUAUACUUAUCGUAUAGAUCAUAGAUUAAGCGCACGAUGUAAACAUAGCUAUGUAUAAUCAAAGCUCUCAGUUUUCUUAUGUAGUACACAGACGUAGCUCGAAUACACAAGAUUAUUGUAAAUAUACAGUACUUAUAAUUAUUAAAAUUAUAAAAAUAAAAAACAACAUGAUUUUAUUUUAAAAGUAUACUCUAGUGAAGAGUCCAAAGAAAAUGGAAAAAUCUCUGUAACCGUUUUAUGUGGAUUGUUCAGCGGAGAAGCUGCCAAGUGAGGCGACAAGUUAGUCGGAGAAGAAUGGUUUUUAUGAGUCAUUAAACCUUUUGCGUGACACAUUAUUAAGAAGAGAGUGAAUACAAGAAAAACAAUUUUUUUAAUUUUUAGAAAAUAUGUUAAAAGCAUUGCGAAAAUAUUUGAAUUAUUAAUUAUGAAACCACAUAUUAAUAAUUAUUACUGUUAUUUCAGAACUGUAUCGAAUAUGCCAGUCUGUAACAACAAUAUGAAUAUCGAAGACGAAGAAGAAAAAGAGAAUCUGCACAAAAUGAUAUCUCUAAGAACAGCAAGAAGCAAAGGAUAAACAGAAACUCAAACCAAGAUAGUAUUAUUCUGGCACAAAUAAGCGAGGCAUUACGAGCCGCCGCCGGCAAUUUCUUUGCCAUCAAUUCCAGUAACGAAAGAAGAAGAUUUCGGAAUGAUGAUUUCCUCGCAACUUC